GGUGGAAAGUCAGAAAGCUGUUCAACAUGAAAAGUUUCAUUUGUACUCUAUUGGUAUUGGCGUUAGUUGGCCUAGUGGCUGGCCUAAACUGCAGAAACGACGAUUAUUCAUUUAUUACAUGCAGUGACCGUUACUGUGACUGGUGGUGGGGUUCGUGCCCUGAAGGAUAUCAGAUGUGCGACUUUGAUAUAUGGAGCUGGUGCACAAUUUUCUACCAUACCUGCUGCAAACCGUAAAUCUGUAAAUCUAGGAUCUGUGUUGCCUCUACACUAAUUAUUUCAAUUAUUUUGUUACAAUACCCAAAUAACACAGAUAAAAGGAUAUAAAACUUGUAUAAAAGUAUAUUAUGAAUAAGUUUAGCAUUUAUAUCUGUUUAAUAAGUUCAAAAAAUGUAUUAUAUUCCUGAAAAUUUGUUAUUAAAAUAUACAGGAAA